rnacentral:rRNA from 1 species
CCUACGGGUGGCAGCAGUGAGGAAUAUUGGUCAAUGGACGAUAGUCUGAACCAGCCAAGUAGCGUGAAGGAUGACUGCCCUAUGGGUUGUAAACUUCUUUUAUAUGGGAAUAAAACGUUCCACGUGUGAGAUUUUGUAUGUACCAUAUGAAUAAGGAUCGGCUAACUCCGUGCCAGCAGCCGCGGUAAUACGGAGGAUCCGAGCGUUAUCCGGAUUUAUUGGGGUUAAGGGGAGCGUAGGUGGAUUGUUAAGUCAGUUGUGAAAGUUUGCGGCUCAACCGUAAAAUUGCAGUUGAAACUGGCAGUCUUGAGUACAGUAGAGGUGGGCGGAAUUCGUGGUGUAGCGGUGAAAUGCUUAGAUAUCACGAAGAACUCCGAUUGCGAAGGCAGUUCACUGGACUGCAACUGACACUGAGGCUCGAAAGUGUGGGUAUCAAACAGGAUUAGAUACCCCAGUAGUC